UCUUCGCAGCGAGCUAUUCUGUGUCACCCCUGACGCCACCGUACACGCACUCCGCCUUCCAGCGCGCUCCCGCGCGCGCCCGCCCAGCCACCUCCACCACGCGCCCGCGCUGUCCCCGAGGCUCCGGCUUAGGCGCGAGGACGCGCCCAUUCCCCCUCCUCCUCCAGCAGGAGAGGCCGCGGCUUCCCCAGCCUUCCCACCCUAACCCACCGCACCCAAUAGGCUGGCCGCUCAAGCCGCCCAGGUCCCGCACUGCCCCUCUUACCCGGCCGGCCACUGGGCCGGCCUCCCUUCCCUGCCCUAGCCGUCCACACCCACGCGUACAGAGGGGCCGGGGCCUCCCUCAAGCUGCGGCCUCGGCCUCCUCCCCGCGCGGCAGCUGGUGCCUCCCCGGCCCUACGGGGCUCACGCGCACGACACAGCCACAAGAUGUCCGCUCUGACGGAACUACUGCCAGCUGCCACGCUCCGCCCCUCCCCCUCCUCCUGCCUCUUCACCGCCGCAGAUCAGUCCGCCAACGCCGCCGUCCCGAGCACAGGACCGAUGUGAGGCCGAAGCCAGACGGCUUGCUUCCCACGUCCGGGGCCGAGUGAAUACGUGUCAAGCCCUUUUCCUUCUCCUUCUCGGAACAGCACCUUCUUACUAAACAGAUCGGAGAUUGGACCAGGAGGGCGGGGGAGGGAGGAGGAUCAUGAGCUGGGGGGAGGGUAAACGAGUGGCGGAAACCCUUAGGCUCAGAGAAGCAUCGAGAACCGGAAGGAGACCAUGGGAGGAAGGUAAAGGAAGCAGCCGCUGCGCGAUCCAGCCCCACGCCCCUCCCCACAGCGUCCCCCAGUUUCCUCACUUGGUAUCGAGGAGACGACUCUCGCGAGAACUUCGUGGCUGGCUAACCGAAGCGGUAGCUCUGCAAUGACUUAAGAGCAGUUUUGUGCGCUUUUCCUGACGGGGUUCCGCCCCCAAAAUGCGUACGUUCUCGCGAGACGCAGUAAGGCACCGGCUCGAACUGGGGCGGGCCACUGCCAGGAAAGCAACGCCCCUGAAUGCUUAUGCCGGUGGUUGGUAGAGGAAAUGGAAUUCCCCGGACUGUACCUCUUGACUUGCUACUGGUACCUGGAAGAGAUGUAACACCUGACCAUGGGACAUCAAGUGACUGUGUGAAUCAAACUGCCCAUCAUGAAUUGUUGUUAUUUGACUCAUCAAACUGUACAACCGGAUGAACACAGGAGCAGUGCACUACAUAUGGGACUGGAACCAUGAAUGAGCAGGUGACUCAGACUCCUAUAGUACCUGCCUCUACUCCUUCAGCACUUCUCCCUCAACCCACAUAAACUGUCAUCAUAAUGAGUUCCCUCUGACCAGUUAAUGGAAGAGAAAAAAGUAUGGAUGUUGUGGAUAUCCUAACAUAUUUCUG
rnacentral:lncRNA from 1 species